AUUGAACGCUGGCGGCAGGCCUAACACAUGCAAGUCGAACGGUAACAGGAAGAAGCUUGCUUCUUUGCUGACGAGUGGCGGACGGGUGAGUAAUGUCUGGGAAACUGCCUGAUGGAGGGGGAUAACUACUGGAAACGGUAGCUAAUACCGCAUAACGUCGCAAGACCAAAGAGGGGGACCUUCGGGCCUCUUGCCAUCGGAUGUGCCCAGAUGGGAUUAGCUUGUUGGUGGGGUAACGGCUCACCAAGGCGACGAUCCCUAGCUGGUCUGAGAGGAUGACCCGCCACCCUGGAACUGAGCACCGGCCCAGACCCCUACGGGAGGCAGCAGGGGGGAAUAUUGCACAAUGGGCGCAAGCCUUAUGCAGCCAUGCCGCGUGUAUGAAGAAGGCCUUCGGGUUGUAAAGUUCUUUCGGGGGGGAGGAAGGGAGUAAAGUUAAUCCCUUUGCUCAUUGACGUUACCCGCAGAAGAAACCCCGGCUAACUCCGU
rnacentral:rRNA from 1 species